GUAGGGUGCGAGCGUUAAUCGGAAUUACUGGGCGUAAAGCGUGCGCAGGCGGUUUUGUAAGACAGGCGUGAAAUCCCCGGGCUUAACCUGGGAACUGCGUUUGUGACUGCAAGGCUAGAGUGUGGCAGAGGGGGGUAGAAUUCCGCGUGUAGCAGUGAAAUGCGUAGAUAUGCGGAGGAAUACCGAUGGCGAAGGCAGCCCCCUGGGUCAACACUGACGCUCAUGCACGAAAGCGUGGGGAGCAAACAGGAUUAGAUACCCUGGUAGUCCACGCCCUAAACGAUGUCAACUAGGUGUUGGGGGAGGAGACUUCCUUAGUACCGCAGCUAACGCGUGAAGUUGACCGCCUGGGGAGUACGGCCGCAAGGUUGAA
rnacentral:rRNA from 1 species